rfam:Lupinus angustifolius cultivar Tanjil chromosome LG12, whole genome shotgun sequence.
AGAAGAAUAACAGUGCAAAUCUCCUUUAGCAGAAUGCAACACUGUUCUUGCACGAGAACUGUUUUUCUGCCAAAGGAGAAUUGCCCUGCCAUUCUACA